rnacentral:rRNA from 1 species
GACGAACGCUGGCGGCGUGCUUAACACAUGCAAGUCGAACGGAAAGGCCCUGCUUUUGUGGGGUGCUCGAGUGGCGAACGGGUGAGUAACACGUGAGUAACCUGCCCUUGACUUUGGGAUAACUUCAGGAAACUGGGGCUAAUACCGGAUAGGAGCUCCUGCUGCAUGGUGGGGGUUGGAAAGUUUCGGCGGUUGGGGAUGGACUCGCGGCUUAUCAGCUUGUUGGUGGGGUAGUGGCUUACCAAGGCUUUGACGGGUAGCCGGCCUGAGGGGGUGACCGGGCCGUUUGGGGCCUGAGAGCGGGCCGGCCCUCCUAGGGGGGGCAGCAGGGGGGAAUUUUGCACAGGGGGCGGAGGUCGGAUGCAGCAGCCCCGGGUGGGGGAGGCCGGCUUCGGGUUUGAAAACCGCUUUCGCCGGUGACGAAGCGGGAGGGGGGGUAAGGGAUAAAAAAGCCCCGGCUACCUCCGUC